AUUGAACGCUGGCGGCAGGCUUAACACAUGCAAGUCGAGCGGGGUGAUGGUGCUUGCACUAUCACUUAGCGGCGGACGGGUGAGUAAUGCUUAGGAAUCUGCCUAUUAGUGGGGGACAACAUCUCGAAAGGGAUGCUAAUACCGCAUACGUCCUACGGGAGAAAGCAGGGGAUCACUUGUGACCUUGCGCUAAUAGAUGAGCCUAAGUCGGAUUAGCUAGUUGGUGGGGUAAAGGCCUACCAAGGCGACGAUCUGUAGCGGGUCGGAGAGGAUGAUCCGCCACACUGGGACUGAGACACGGCCCAGACUCCUACGGGAGGCAGCAGUGGGGAAUAUUGGACAAUGGGGGGAACCCUGAUCCAGCCAUGCCGCGUGUGUGAAGAAGGCCUUAUGGUUGUAAAGCACUGUAAGCGAGGAGGAGGCUACUUUAGUUAAUACCUAGAGAUAGUGGACGUUACUCGCAGAAUAAGCACCGGCUAACUCUGUGCCAGCAGCCGCCGUAA
rnacentral:rRNA from 1 species